rnacentral:rRNA from 1 species
UACGAAGGGGGCGAGCGUUGUUCGGAAUUACUGGGCGUAAAGGGCGCGUAGGCGGUUUGUACAGUCAGGUGUGAAAUUCCCGGGCUCAACCUGGGGGCUGCACUUGAUACGUAGGAACUGGAGUGGGGAAGAGGGUCGUGGAAUUCCCAGUGUAGAGGUGAAAUUCGUAGAUAUUGGGAAGAACACCGGUGGCGAAGGCGGCGACCUGGUCCUUGACUGACGCUGAGGCGCGAAAGCGUGGGGAGCAAACAGG